GGCUAACUCCGUGCCAGCAGCCGCGGUAAUACGGAGGAUGCAAGCGUUUCCGGAUUUAUUGGGUUAAAGGGUGCGCAGGCGGGCUUGUAAUUCAGUGGUGAAAAACUGCGCUUAACGGGUAGAGGGUGCCAUUGAUACUGCGAGUCUUGAGUAUGGUUGAGGUAGGCGGAAUGUGCAGUGUAGCGGUGAAAUGCAUAGAGAUUGCACAGAACACCGAUGCGGAGGCAGCUUACUAAGCCAAUACUGACGCUGAGGCACGAAAGCGUGGGGAGCGAACAGGAUUAGAUACCCUGGUAGUCCACGCCGUAAACGAUGUUCACUCGCUGUUUGCGAUACACAGUAAGCGGCUUAGCGAAAGCAUUAAGUGAACCACCUGGGGAGUACGAUCGCAAGGUUGAAACUCAAAGGAAUUGACGGGGGCCCGCACAAGCGGAGGAACAUGUGGUUUAAUUCGAUGAUACGCGAGGAACCUUACCUGGGCUUAAAUGUAGGCUGCAUUUCCGGGAAACCGGGAUUUCCUUCGGGACUGCUUACAAGGUGCUGCAUGGUUGUCGUCAGCUCGUGCCGUGAGGUGUCGGGUUAAGUCCCAUAACGAGCGCAACCCUUAUCGUUAGUUGCCAACAGGUAAAGCUGGGGACUCUAGCGAGACUGCCACCGUAAGGUGAGAGGAAGGUGGGGAUGACGUCAAAUCAGCACGGCCCUUAUGUCCAGGGCUACACACGUGUUACAAUGGCCGGUACAGAGGGAAGCUACCUGGUGACAGGUUGCCAAUCUUAAAAGCCGGUCUCAGUUCGGAUUGGAGUCUGCAACCCGACUCCAUGAAGUUGGAUUCGCUAGUAAUCGUAUAUCAGCAAUGAUACGGUGAAUACGUUCCCGGGCCUUGUACACACCGCCCGUCAAACCAUGGGAGCUGGGGGUGCCUGAAGUCUGCCACCGAGAGGAGCGGCCUAGGGUAAAACCAGUGACUGGGGUUAAGUCGUAACAAGGUAACCGUA
rnacentral:rRNA from 1 species